UAUAUCUGUUUUUAAAGCUGUUGCUAAGGUUCCUGAGUUAAGAGAUAAGUCGGUGCCAGUGACAGUGUCAGUGACUGACAAUGGUGAGCAGAUAAGCAGCGGAUGAAUAAGUUUUUUUCAGCAAGAUCUAGAUGAGACUUGGCAGCAGAAAAGCGGGUCUUUUCGGUUUGGAGCUAGAGAAGCAAGGUAAAAGUCUACAAUGUUGCUGCGUGUCAUAUCAGAAAAUGAAAUCAGACGUCUUUCAGUUGAAGACAUCCCAUCCAGUGAUGAGGAGCUGUAUCAGGUGUUGCGAACAAAGCUUGGUCUGAGAGGUGCAUUCAUUUUGCUAUUUGAGGAUCCUGAUUUCAAUAAUCAGUUGUGCAACCUAACCGACAUCAAAGACCUUCCUGUGGGUCGGUCAACUGUGAAAGUGUUGUUCACAGUUGAUGACAUCUCAGAUUCUACACUGGACACUUGCAGCCUCCCUUCUCUUAGUGGAGAUUCUGUUGAAUGGCCUGAUCCUUUCCUGAUUCCACUGUUCUCACAUGAUGUGGAGCUGCAGCUGAAAGAAGCCAAUUGUAGGUAUGCUAAGGAUGGAUCUGUAAUGGUGAUUCCUAAAGGUUUAAAGAUUGAUAUCCUUGAUACACUGGCUGACAGUAUGUCAAAGAUUAGUGCUUAUCCUGAGAGACAUCACUAUGAGAAUGUAGCCAAAGCACAUGUGGAGAAGCAUCCUAGUCUGAAGGAGCCAGGGUCUGAAAAGGGAUGGCACUCAUGGUUUCACAGCCUGAAAUUUAAGCUUGGAAACUAUCUGCAAAAGUUAAGGUGGUAAACAAAAGAAAAGGAGGAGGUUUGAAGGGAAAAAGUGUAAAGAGGUCAAAGAAGGGUGAGGUCAACUACUGUCCAGAUCCACCUGAAGGUCAGAGUCCUGAAAACAUGGAGGAGAAGCGCAAUAUGAUGGAGGCUGAAAUUCUGAAAAGAGACCCUGAUCACGAGCUGGUAGAAGACCUGAUGGUUGCUACGUUUUCCCAGCCCAGAAAAGAGCUCUGUUCCAUGAGAUACAGAUCAGGGCGGAGUUCAAGAGUAUCUUCACCAAAGACCUUCUGGAAUCUUGUAACAAUUCGCCUUACACUAAGACAGCAAGGGAACGUCUUUUCCAACGGACUUGAUGGCCUGAUCCCAAAACUGCUGUAGGUGUACAAAGCAGCAACCAAGACUGGAAAGAAGCAAUCACUCAAAGACAUUUUGGAUUGCCUUCAGAAAGAUGAUACAAAUGAGAGGAGAAGGACUGCUGUUUUGCUUGGUCUGCGACACUACAUAUCAGGCCAAGAUCCAUCAACUGUCGUCAGGAUGUGUGAUGCUCACACGGAGACUCUCAAUGAAGCCAUGAAGGGGAUGCAACUUGGCCUGCUGAUAGGCUAUGAAGGUGCUGAAUGGGAUGCCUUUCCACGGGAGGUCUUUGAGAUAGCUGUUGUGGUUGAGGAGACCAUUGUGCUUCACAACAUUAAAGAUGUGGCAUGCAGCUUUGCCAUGCUCAUGGGUGUCAUCUACUGUAUCAAUCUCGAGUACCCAGAAGCCAUGAACUAUUCCUUUGAGUUUCUUCAGAGAGUGGUGAUGAAGAUAAAAGCAGACCAAGCAUCUGCCUGAGUACAUGGACUAAGAAACAGAUAGCCUAUCAGUGUUGAGAUUGUCCAUACGUCACAGAGGCUUCAGAGCGUUGUGUGGAGAGGACCAGGCAGAGCGGGGGAUUGAAAAUCUGCUGGCCAGCUGAGAGCUGCUAAACGUGGGGGAGAGGAGCAGGGAGCAGCGCUGCAACCAUUGGACAAAUAAAUCCCCGUAGUUGGUCAGAUUCUGCUCUGACAACUAUACCGUUUACUUGCGGGAGGAGCUUGGAGUAAAUUGGUUUUAUUAAAUUAGCUUUUUACUUUAGUUUUUGGGAUUUCAACGUUGAUUUAUCUUCACUGGAGCUUCUCAGCAGCUAGCUUCCGU